rnacentral:rRNA from 1 species
UACGUAGGGUGCAAGCGUUGUCCGGAAUUAUUGGGCGUAAAGAGCUCGUAGGCGGUUUGUCGCGUCGGCUGUGAAAGCCCGGAGCUCAACUCCGGGUCUGCAGUCGAUACGAGCAAACUAGAGUGUUGCAGGGGAGACUGGAAUUCCUGGUGUAGCGGUGAAAUGCGCAGAUAUCAGGAGGAACACCGGUGGCGAAGGCGGGUCUCUGGGCAACAACUGACGCUGGAGGAGCGAAAGCGUGGGGAGCGAACAGG